GUUGCUAAGAAAACAGGUUCCGGGUCCCACCCUGUGUGAGUUCACUAAUGAGCAGUUCAUGUAAAUGAAGAUCCCGUUCAUUGAAAUGUGAGUUCUUUGAUGCUCCUGUCACUGAAACUAUUCCAGAUUCAAAGUCGCUUAUGUUUCUUGCCUGGAUCUUCUCACUCAAAUGAAGUUAGAUGAUUUCCAGUGUCAGUUCUUAAAUAUGAACUCAGGUGACAGUUCUGACUGAGGCGUUUGAGGCAGUCCCUCACCAAAGGCUGCUGAGAGAACUCCACGAUCACAGGAUAAGAGGGUAGGUCCUCUUGUGGCUUGAGAAGGCGUUGAGAACCAGGAAAGAGAGAGUAGGUGUCAGUGGGCCAUUUCCACACUGGGCGUGAGAGGGGAAGAGCGGUGUGCCCCAGGGCUCUGUCCUGGGACCGGCUGGUGCUUCUCAACCUGUUCCUCAAUGAACUGGAGAACAGGGAUAAGGAGCAAGGUGUCCAAGUGUGCAGGUGACAUGAAACUUUCCUGGAUGGUGAAGACCAGAAGGGAUGGUGAAGGCCAGUGUCCUGCUAGGUGAACUGGGCAGCUGUUCUCAAAAGAAGGCUUGCUGCUACUCAGGCUGCUGCUUCCAAGCACAGAAACCCUAGCGAGGAAAGCAGCUGGCAGCCCAGCCUACGUAACCACCACGGAUCCCUGGGAAAGCUUCGGACUAGUUUUCACUCAAAAAGGAGUGGUUGCUCUGCUGGAUUCCAGAGCCUGGUCUGUUGACGUGGUUGCUGCAGCAACGUAGUUCCGAGCCAGUCCAGGGCUACUGGUCGUUUGUGGUGCAGACCGGAUCGCUGUCAGAGGCGCCUUCAAGGGUCUCCUGAUAAUGGCUCUGGGUUGGGCAAGACUUUUGCUUCCACUGAGUUCUCCAGCAUCAGCAAGCACAUCGUGGCUCUUGGGAAGAACGUCUAGGGUGUUCAGAGAGAGGGACCAGAAAGAAUUUGUGAUCCAGAGAGAAAGGCAGACUGGCCAGAUGAAGGCUCUCCAGGAGUGGGAAAGGUCUCUUCUGGGAACCUGGGCGUUGUCUGAAGGUGUCAGCAUACUGCCAAGGUAAGGGACUCUCCACGUCAAAAUGGAUCAGGGUCAAUUUGUAAAGCCAAGGGAACGAAUGGCCAGAGAGGGUCAAGUCCCAGUAGAAGCCGCCCGUGUUUCGUUGCAAGGCACAGUUCUCCCUCAUGGGAGAAUGGGAGAAAGCCGAAUAUUUCUGGAGAUUUGGGCAGUGGUUCAACAGGGUGUUUUCCUUACCAAUUUAUCCACAUCUUCUUUCUUUACUAUUUUGGUCAUAAAUUUUGGGUUUUGAUAAUUUAUUUUAAGACGUGGCACCAGUCCAAAUUCUUCUAUA
rnacentral:lncRNA from 1 species